ACGAUGAAUCUUCUAGCUUGCUAGAAGUGGAUUAGUGGCGCACGGGUGAGUAAUGCAUAGGUUAUGUGCCCUUUAGUCUGGGAUAGCCACUGGAAACGGUGAUUAAUACUGGAUACUCCCUACGGGGGAAAGUUUUUCGCUAAAGGAUCAGCCUAUGUCCUAUCAGCUUGUUGGUGAGGUAAUGGCUCACCAAGGCUAUGACGGGUAUCCGGCCUGAGAGGGUGAUCGGACACACUGGAACUGAGACACGGUCCAGACUCCUACGGGAGGCAGCAGUAGGGAAUAUUGCUCAAUGGGGGAAACCCUGAAGCAGCAACGCCGCGUGGAGGAUGAAGGUUUUAGGAUUGUAAACUCCUUUUGUUAGAGAAGAUUAUGACGGUAUCUAACGAAUAAGCACCGGCUAACUCCGUGCCAGCAGCCGCGGUAAUACGGAGGGUGCAAGCGUUACUCGGAAUCACUGGGCGUAAAGAGUGCGUAGGCGGGGUAAUAAGUCAGAUGUGAAAUCCUGUAGCUUAACUACAGAACUGCAUUUGAAACUGUUACUCUGGAGUGUGGGAGAGGUAGGUGGAAUUCUUGGUGUAGGGGUAAAAUCCGUAGAGAUCAAGAGGAAUACUCAUUGCGAAGGCGACCUGCUGGAACAUUACUGACGCUGAUGCACGAAAGCGUGGGGAGCAAACAGGAUUAGAUACCCUGGUAGUCCACGCCCUAAACGAUGGAUGCUAGUUGUUGCCUUGCUUGUCAGGGCAGUAAUGCAGCUAACGCAUUAAGCAUCCCGCCUGGGGAGUACGGUCGCAAGAUUAAAACUCAAAGGAAUAGACGGGGACCCGCACAAGCGGUGG
rnacentral:rRNA from 1 species